GACGAACGCUGGCGGCGUGCCUAACACAUGCGAGUCGAGCGAGUGAAUCUCCUUCGGGAGUGAAGCUAGCGGCGGACGGGUGAGUAACACGUGGGCAACCUGCCUCAUAGAGGGGAAUAGCCUUUCGAAAGGAAGAUUAAUACCGCAUAAGAUUGUAGCUUCGCAUGAAGUAGCAAUUAAAGGAGCAAUCCGCUAUGAGAUGGGCCCGCGGCGCAUUAGCUAGUUGGUGAGGUAACGGCUCACCAAGGCGACGAUGCGUAGCCGACCUGAGAGGGGGAUAGGCCACAUUGGGACUGAGACACGGCCCAGACUCCUACGGGAGGCAGCAGUGGGGAAUAUUGCACAAUGGGGGAAACCCUGAUGCAGCAACGCCGCGUGAGUGAUGACGGCCUUCGGGUUGUAAAGCUCUGUCUUCAGGGACGAUAAUGACGGUACCUGAGGAGGAAGCCACGGCUAACUACGUGCCAGCCGCCGCGGUAA
rnacentral:rRNA from 1 species